AUUCUUUUAGUAUAAAAAUUAUAUUUAACUUCCAAUUAAAUGAUCUUGUUAAAAGAAAGAAUA
rnacentral:tRNA from 1 species